UACAGAGGGUGCAAGCGUUGUUCGGAAUUACUGGGCGUAAAGCGCGUGUAGGUGGCGAUGUAAGUCGGAUGUGAAAACUCUGGGCUCAACCCAGAGCCUGCAUCCGAAACUGGAGUGCUAGAGUUCUGGAGGGGGUAGCGGAAUUCCUGGUGUAGCGGUGAAAUGCGUAGAUAUCAGGAGGAACACCGGUGGCGAAGGCGGCUACCUGGACAGAAACUGACGCUGAGGCGCGAAAGCUAGGGGAGCAAACAGG
rnacentral:rRNA from 1 species